rnacentral:tRNA from 1 species
GGGGAUUUAGCUCAGCGGCAUAAGCGCCUGCCUUGUAAGCAGGCAGUCGUGAAUAUGAUCCCUG